rnacentral:rRNA from 1 species
GAUGAACGCUGGCGGCGUGCUUAACACAUGCAAGUCGAACGGAAAGGCCCAAGCUUGCUUGGGUACUCGAGUGGCGAACGGGUGAGUAACACGUGGGUGAUCUGCCCUGCACUUCGGGAUAAGCCUGGGAAACUGGGUCUAAUACCGGAUAGGACGAUGGUUUGGAUGCCAUUGUGGAAAGUUUUUUCGGUGUGGGAUGAGCUCGCGGCCUAUCAGCUUGUUGGUGGGGUAAUGGCCUACCAAGGCGUCGACGGGUAGCCGGCCUGAGAGGGGGUACGGCCACAUUGGGACUGAGAGACGGCCCAGACUCCUACGGGAGGCAGCAGUGGGGAAUAUUGCACAAUGGGCGCAAGCCUGAUGCAGCGACGCCGCGUGGGGGAUGACGGCCUUCGGGUUGUAAACUCCUUUCGCUAGGGACGAAGCGUUUUUGUGACGGUACCUGGAGAAGAAGCACCGGCUAACUACGUG